rnacentral:rRNA from 1 species
GACGAACGCUGGCGGCGUGCCUAAUACAUGCAAGUCGAGCGCAGGAAAUCGACGGAACCCUUCGGGGGGAAGUCGACGGAAUGAGCGGCGGACGGGUGAGUAACACGUAAAGAACCUGCCCUCAGGUCUGGGAUAACCACGAGAAAUCGGGGCUAAUACCGGAUGGGUCAUCGGACCGCAUGGUCCGAGGAUGAAAGGCGCUUCGGCGUCGCCUGGGGAUGGCUUUGCGGUGCAUUAGCUAGUUGGUGGGGUAAUGGCCCACCAAGGCGACGAUGCAUAGCCGACCUGAGAGGGUGAUCGGCCACACUGGGACUGAGACACAGCCCAGACUCCUACGGGAGGCAGCAGUAGGGAAUCUUCCACAAUGGACGAAGGUCUGAUGGAGCAACGCCGCGUGAACGAUGAAGGCCUUCGGGUCGUAAAGUUCUGUUGUAAGGGAAGAACAAGUGCCGCAGGCAAUGGCGGCACCUUGACGGUACCUUGCGAGAAAGCCACGGCUAACUACGUGCCAGCCGCCGCCGUAA